ACUUAGGUGAAGAGUUCUCCGUUUUUUCCCUUUGGGAGAGAAGGGAACAAACACUUGAGCUAUUCCAGAUAUACUAACAUAUUAUUAUAUUUAAUCCCACAACAAUCCUAUAAAUAAAAAAAUCUCCAUUUUACAGGUGAAAACACUGAGGCUCAAAGCGAAUAACCUGUCCCAGGUCAGAUGGCCAGGAAAAAUGAAGCCUUAUUCCAGGGGAGGAGAGAAUCCUAGAUUAGUGACAGCAGCAUAGCUUCUUACAUUGUGGUUCGGCAGCUAGAGUGCUUCUUCUUGAGGACCUGCAGAUGAGCUGGUAUAAAGGGAUCCUUCAGAGCCAGGUUCGUGUCACGAAAUUGAGCAUAGGUUAGUUUGAAAAACACUAACCUUUAUUUUAGAUUUAUCGG
rnacentral:lncRNA from 1 species